CUCUAUGGUGGCCAUGCACAGGGCGCCUUCGGGCGCGCCGGUCUCCUUGCAUCCCGGUCUACCAACCUGCGUAUGGCCACCACCCUC
rnacentral:antisense_RNA from 1 species